rnacentral:rRNA from 1 species
GUAGGCAGCAAGCGUUGUUCGGAGUUACUGGGCGUAAAGGGUGUGUAGGCGGUUCUCUAAGUUUGGUGUGAAAUCUCCCGGCUCAACUGGGAGGGUGCGCCGAAAACUGGAGGGCUAGAGUACUGGAUGGGAGAGUGGAAUUCCUGGUGUAGCGGUGAAAUGCGUAGAUAUCAGGAGGAACACCUGUGGUGUAGACGGCUCUCUGGACAGUAACUGACGCUGAGACACGAAAGCGUGGGUAGCAAACAGGAUUAGAUACCCUGGUAGUCCACGCCCUAAACGAUGCGAACUGGACGUUGGGAGCAAUCAGGCUCUCAGUGUCGAAGCUAACGCGUUAAGUUCGCCGCCUGGGGAGUACGGUCGCAAGRCUG